rnacentral:rRNA from 1 species
GUGGAUGAGUGGCGAACGGGUGAGUAAUACGUGAGUAACCUGCCCUUGACUCUGGGAUAAGCCCGGGAAACUGGGUCUAAUACUGGAUGCUACAUGUCACCGCAUGGUGGUGUGUGGAAAGGGUUKACUGGUCUUGGAUGGGCUCACGGCCUAUCAGCUUGUUGGUGAGGUAAUGGCUCACCAAGGCGACGACGGGUAGCCGGCCUGAGAGGGUGACCGGCCACACUGGGACUGAGACACGGCCCAGACUCCUACGGGAGGCAGCAGUGGGGAAUAUUGCACAAUGGGCGAAAGCCUGAUGCAGCGACGCCGCGUGAGGGAUGACGGCCUUCGGGUUGUAAACCUCUUUCAGCAGGGAAGAAGCCACAAGUGACGGUACCUGCAGAAGAAGCGCCGGCUAACUACGUGCCAGCAGCCGCGGUAAUACGUAGGGCGCAAGCGUUGUCCGGAAUUAUUGGGCGUAAAGAGCUCGUAGGCGGUUUGUCGCGUCUGCUGUGAAAGCCCGGGGCUUAACCCCGGGUGUGCAGUGGGUACGGGCAGACUAGAGUGCAGUAGGGGAGACUGGAAUUCCUGGUGUAGCGGUGGAAUGCGCAGAUAUCAGGAGGAACACCGAUGGCGAAGGCAGGUCUCUGGGCUGUUACUGACGCUGAGGAGCGAAAGCAUGGGGAGCGAACAGGAUUAGAUACCCUGGUAGUCCAUGCCGUAAACGUUGGGCACUAGGUGUGGGGGAMAUUCCACGUUUUCCGCGCCGUAGCUAACGCAUUAAGUGCCCCGCCUGGGGAGUACGGCCGCAAGGCUAAAACUCAA